AUUGAACGCUAGCGGGAUGCCUUACACAUGCAAGUCGAACGGCAGCGCGGACUUCGGUCUGGCGGCGAGUGGCGAACGGGUGAGUAAUGUAUCGGAACGUGCCCAGUAGCGGGGGACAACCACUCGAAAGAGUGGCUAAUACCGCAUACGCCCUACGGGGGAAAGGGGGGGAUCGCAAGACCUCUCACUAUUGGAGCGGCCGAUAUCGGAUUAGCUAGUUGGUGGGGUAAAGGCCUACCAAGGCGACGAUCCGUAGCUGGUUUGAGAGGACGACCAGCCACACUGGGACUGAGACACGGCCCAGACUCCUACGGGAGGCAGCAGUGGGGAAUUUUGGACAAUGGGGGAACCCUGAUCCAGCCAUUCCGCGUGUGCGAUGAAGGCCUUCGGGUUGUAAAGCACUUUUGGCAGGAAAGAAAUCGUGUGAGUUAAUACCCUGCGCGGAUGACGGUACCUGCAGAAGAAGCACCGGCUAACUACGUGCCAGCAGCCGCGGUAACAC
rnacentral:rRNA from 1 species